rnacentral:rRNA from 1 species
UACGAGAGGCGCAAACGUUAUUCGGAAUUACUGGGCUUAAAGAGUUCGUAGGCGGCGCGGAAAGUAGGGUGUGAAAGCCCUCGGCUCAACCGAGGAAUUGCGCUCUAAACUGCCGUGCUUGAGGAACCUAGAGGUGAGCAGACUGAUGGUGGAGCGGUGAAAAUGCGUUGAUAUCAUCAGGAAUACCGGAGGCGAAGGCGCUCACUGGGGGUUUUCUGACGCUGAGGAACGGAAAGCCAGGGGAGCGAACGGGG